UACGGAGGGUGCAAGCGUUAUCCGGAUUCACUGGGUUUAAAGGGUGCGUAGGCGGGCAGGUAAGUCAGUGGUGAAAUCUCCGAGCUUAACUCGGAAACUGCCAUUGAUACUAUUUGUCUUGAAUAUUGUGGAGGUAAGCGGAAUAUGUCAUGUAGCGGUGAGAUGCUUAGAUAUGACAUAGAACACCAAUUGCGAAGGCAGCUUACUACACAAUGAUUGACGCUGAGGCACGAAAGCGUGGGGAUCAAACAGG
rnacentral:rRNA from 1 species